GACGAACGCUGGCGGCGUGCCUAAUACAUGCAAGUAGAACGCUGAAGAGAGGAGCUUGCUCUUCUUGGAUGAGUUGCGAACGGGUGAGUAACGCGUAGGUAACCUGCCUUGUAGCGGGGGAUAACUAUUGGAAACGAUAGCUAAUACCGCAUAACAAUGGAUGACACAUGUCAUUUAUUUGAAAGGGGCAAUUGCUCCACUACAAGAUGGACCUGCGUUGUAUUAGCUAGUAGGUGAGGUAAUGGCUCACCUAGGCGACGAUACAUAGCCGACCUGAGAGGGUGAUCGGCCACACUGGGACUGAGACACGGCCCAGACUCCUACGGGAGGCAGCAGUAGGGAAUCUUCGGCAAUGGGUGCAACCCUGACCGAGCAACGCCGCGUGAGUGAAGAAGGUUUUCGGAUCGUAAAGCUCUGUUGUAAGUCAAGAACGGGUGUGAGAGUGGAAAGUUCACACUGUGACGGUAGCUUACCAGAAAGGGACGGCUAACUACGUG
rnacentral:rRNA from 1 species